rnacentral:rRNA from 1 species
GAUGAACGCUGGCGGCGUGCUUAACACAUGCAAGUCGAGCGAAGCGCUUUUGCGGAUUUCUUCGGAUUGAAGCAACUGUGACUGAGCGGCGGACGGGUGAGUAACGCGUGGGUAACCUGCCUCAUACAGGGGGAUAACAGUUGGAAACGGCUGCUAAUACCGCAUAAGCGCACAGUACCGCAUGGUACGGUGUGAAAAACUCCGGUGGUAUGAGAUGGACCCGCGUCUGAUUAGGUAGUUGGUGGGGUAACGGCCUACCAAGCCGACGAUCAGUAGCCGACCUGAGAGGGUGAUCGGCCACAUUGGGACUGAGACACGGCCCAAACUCCUACGGGAGGCAGCAGUGGGGAAUAUUGCACAAUGGGGGAAACCCUGAUGCAGCGACGCCGCGUGAGCGAUGAAGUAUUUCGGUAUGUAAAGCUCUAUCAGCAGGGAAGAAAAUGACGGUACCUGACUAAGAAGCCCCGGCUAACUACGUGCCAGCAGCCGCGGUAAUACGUAGGGGGCAAGCGUUAUCCGGAUUUACUGGGUGUAAAGGGAGCGUAGACGGCAUGGCAAGCCAGAUGUGAAAGCCCGGGGCUCAACCCCGGGACUGCAUUUGGAACUGUCAGGCUAGAGUGUCGGAGAGGAAAGCGGAAUUCCUAGUGUAGCGGUGAAAUGCGUAGAUAUUAGGAGGAACACCAGUGGCGAAGGCGGCUUUCUGGACGAUGACUGACGUUGAGGCUCGAAAGCGUGGGGAGCAAACAGGAUUAG